AUUGAACGCUGGCGGCAUGCCUUACACAUGCAAGUCGAACGGCAGCACGGGAGCAAUCCUGGUGGCGAGUGGCGAACGGGUGAGUAAUAUAUCGGAACGUGCCCAGUCGUGGGGGAUAACGCAGCGAAAGCUGUGCUAAUACCGCAUACGAUCUCCGGAUGAAAGCGGGGGAUCGCAAGACCUCGCGCGAUUGGAGCGGCCGAUAUCAGAUUAGCUAGUUGGUGAGGUAAAGGCUCACCAAGGCGACGAUCUGUAGCUGGUCUGAGAGGACGACCAUCCACACUGGAACUGAGACACGGUCCAGACUCCUACGGGAGGCAGCAGUGGGGAAUUUUGGACACUGGGCGCAAGCCUGAUCCAGCAAUGCCGCGUGCAGGGUGAAGGCCUUCGGGUUGUAAACUGCUUUUGUACGGAGCGAAACGGUCUUUCCUAAUACGAGAGGCUAAUGACGGUACCGUAAGAAUAAGCACCGGCUAACUACGUGCCAGCCGCCGCAGUAA
rnacentral:rRNA from 1 species